rnacentral:rRNA from 1 species
GAUCGUUAGCUGAUGUGAGAAGCCAUGGUUCAGCCCACACGGGGCACUGAGACACGGGCCCGACUCCUACGGGGAGGGCAAGCUAGUGAAGGGAAAUAUUUGGGUCGAAUGGGACGAAGUUCUGAAACCCAGCCCAUGCCGCGUGAAAGGAAUGAAAGGGCGUUUCUGCGUUGUAACUUUCUUUUAUUCUGGGGAAAGAAAACCUUACGAAUUUUUAUUGUUAGCCGACGGGCCCAGAAGGAAAUAAGCCACCCGGGCUUAAACUCCGUGCCCAGCAAGCCGCGGUUAAUCGGAGGGGUGCCAAGCGUUUAUCCCGGAAUUUCACUGGGGUUUAAAAGGGUGUGUAGGGAUAUUUAAAGUUCCGAGGUGAAAAUCUCUGAGCUUAACUCAGAAACUGCCUUGGAUAAUUUAUCUUGAAUAUCGUUGAGGUAGGCGGAAUAUGUCAUGUAGCGGUGAAAUGCAUAUAUGACAUAGAACACCGAUUGCGAAGGCAGCUUGCUAAACGAUUAUUGACGCUGAGGC